rnacentral:rRNA from 1 species
GUCUACGGCCAUACCACCCUGAACGUGCCCGAUCUCGUCUGAUCUCGGAAGCUAAGCAGGGUCGGGCCUGGUUAGUACUUGGAUGGGAGAAUCUACACACACAGAGAAAACUUUAAAAGUAUUAUCAUUGUAUCCC